rnacentral:lncRNA from 1 species
UUUUUUUUUUUUUUUGGUAUCAGGUAUUAAACCCAGGGGUGCUUAACCACUGAGCCACAUCCCCAAGCUCUUUUUCUUUUUUUCUCUUUUUCAUAUUUUAUUUAAAGACAGGGUCUCACUGAGUUACUUAGUGCUUCGCUGAGUUGCUGAGGCUGGCUUUGAAAUUGGGAUUCUCCUGCCUCAGCCUCUCAAGCUACAGGGAUUACAGGCGUGCACCACCAUGCCUAGUUGACAGUGCACAGUUUCAUCAGGAAUAUCAUUUUUUUCUGUGCAGCCUCUUUCUCGGGCAAACUCCAAAAGUUGACAAAGUGGCCACUGGCACUCUAGGUUUAUAUCCUGAUAUAUCAGUAACAACAGUGGAAAAAAUAGCUUUACUAGUUCAACUAAUAAACUCAUUAGACAGCUUGGUCAUGUUUACAUUCCUGAACCAGUCACUGGUCAGGGGAAUGAGUGCUCUAAUUUGGGCCCUGGGUCAUAUAUCUAAAGCCUGGGAAGACAUCAGCUACAUCUGAAACACAUUGAGAAAGAGGAAGAGAGGUGACCCUAGAAAGAAAAUUAUAGGGCUCUUACCAGUUAAAAGACAAAAAAUAAUGUUCUCUACUAGACCCAGGAAUUGUUUUUAUUUAAUAACCAUUCUCUUCCCCACCCUCAGUUUGGGAUACAGUAUCUGUUUAGUUAUGUAUGCCAGUUUUUAGAAUGACAAGUCCUUACAUAUAUGUUGGCCUCUAGGCAGUUACCUUCCAGGUCAAGAUAUAGAAUAUCAGGCUGGGGUGUAACUCAUUGGUAGAGCUCUCAACUAGCAUGCCCAAGACCCUAGGUUCAGUCCCCAGAACUGCAAAACAAGAUACAGAAUAUUGCCAACCCUCCAGAGUUUUCCUCAUUCCUCUAAUUAGUCACUAUCUCUCAGAAGUACCAUUAUUUUGACUUUUAUCACUAUGGAUAAGUCUGCCAGCUCUUGAGUUUUAUAAAAAUGGAAUUAUAUAUCCUCUUUUGCCCAGUAUUAUUAUAUCUGAGACUUAAGAAUUCAUUUUUAUGCUAUGUAGUAAUCCAUUAUUUAAAUCUACUAUAGUUUAGCCUUUCUACUGUUGAUGGAAAUUAUGAUCAUUUUCUGUUUGGGGCUAUUACAAAUAAAGUUGCCAUGAAAAAUUCUGUACAUGUUAUUUGGUACACAUGUGCACUCAUGUUCUCAGGAGUAGAAUUAUAGAGUAGGUUUGGUUUUAGUUAUUUGUGUUUAUUUUGGGUUUGUUGUUGU